AGUGAACGCUGGCGGUAGGCCUAACACAUGCAAGUCGAACGGCAGCACAGUAAGAGCUUGCUCUUACGGGUGGCGAGUGGCGGACGGGUGGGGAAUACAUCGGAAUCUACUUUUUCGUGGGGGAUAACGUAGGGAAACUUACGCUAAUACCGCAUACGACCUACGGGUGAAAGCAGGGGAUCUUCGGCCCUUGCGCGAUUGAAUGAGCCGAUGUCGGAUUAGCUAGUUGGCGGGGUAAAGGCCCACCAAGGCGACGAUCCGUAGCUGGUCUGAGAGGAUGAUCAGCCACACUGGAACUGAGACACGGUCCAGACUCCUACGGGAGGCAGAAGUGGGGAAUAUUGGACAAUGGGCGCAAGCCUGAUCCAGCCAUACCGCGUGGGUGAAGAAGGCCUUCGGGUUGUAAAGCCCUUUUGUUGGGAAAGAAAAGCAGCAGGUUAAUACCCCGCUGUUCUGACGGUACCCAAAGAAUAAGCACCGGCUAACUUCGUG
rnacentral:rRNA from 1 species